CGUGUAGGCGGCUUGGAAAGUCAGAUGUGAAAGCCCUGGGCUCAACCCAGGAAGUGCAUUUGAAACUACCAAGCUAGAGUAUGGGAGAGGAGAGUGGAAUUCCCAGUGUAGAGGUGAAAUUCGUAGAUAUUGGGAGGAACACCGGUGGCGAAGGCGACUCUCUGGACCAAUACUGACGCUGAGACGCGAAAGCGUGGGGAGCAAACAG
rnacentral:rRNA from 1 species